CAUAAAUUAUUCCUAAUAUGGGCAGAUUAGUGCAUUGGAA
rnacentral:tRNA from 1 species